rnacentral:misc_RNA from 1 species
GAAAUGCGAUAAGUAAUGUGAAUUGCAGAAUUCAGUGAAUCAUCGAAUCUUUGAACGCACAUUGCGCCCGCCAGUAUUCUGGCGGGCAUGCCUGUCCGAGCGUCAUUUCAACCAUCAAGCCCCCGGGCUUGUGUUGGGGACCUGCGGCUGUCCGCAGGCCCUGAAAACCAGUGGCGGGCUCGCUGUCACACCGAGCGUAGUAGCAAUCACCUCGCUCAGGGCGUGCUGCGGGUUCCGGCCGUUAAACAGCCUUACAAAACCCAAGGUUGACCUCGGAUCAGGUAGGAAGACCCGCUGAACUUAAGC